rnacentral:tRNA from 1 species
GGGCCCAUAGUCUAAUGGUAGGACAUUACCCUCACACGGUAGAGAACCCGGUUCGAUCCCGGGUGGGCCCA